AGCUCGUUAGCCGUGGUAGGCAGUCUGCCUAGGAGAGCAAACUCCGAACAAUAAACCCGGGCAGGUGGAGCUCGUUAGCCGUGGUAGGCAAUUCACCUAGGAGAGCAAACUCUAAACAAACCCGGGCAGGUGGAGGUCGUUAGCCGUGGGAGGCAAUUCACCUAGGAGAGCAAACUCCGAACAAUAAACCCGGGCAGGUGGAGGUCGUUAGCCAUGGUAGGCAAUUCACCUAGGAGAGCAAACUCCGAACAAUAAACCCGGGCAGGUGGAGGUCGUCAGCCGUGGUAGGCAAUCUGCCUAGGAGAGCAAACUCCGAACAAUAAACCCGGCCAGGUGGAGGUCGUCAGCCGUGGUAGGCAAUCUGCCUAGGAGAGCAAACUCCGAACAAUAAACCCGGGCAGGUGGAGGUCGUCAGCCGUGGUAGGCAAUCUGCCUAGGAGAGCAAACUCUAAACAAACCCGGGCUUGUGGUGCUCGUUAUACUGUCGUAGACAAUCCACGCGAUGGGAACAUCAAAGAAAAGGAAAAUAAAAAGGAACACCAGAAAAAUGGAAAAUACAGAAACGAAACAUCAAGAAAAGAAACAAAAAGAUCAUCCACCUUUAGGCCCUAACAUCGCCAAAAUUAUGGAUGGGUCUCUUCUGGGGAGAAAGCGGCUCAUCCAGACCAAAGAACAUCAACCAAAGGAUGAUAUGAAUAAAUGAAAUAAAAAAAAACAAAGAAAAACACAUCAAGGAAAGAAAAAUAUAACAAACAUCAUCCACCUUCCGGCCCUGACUAACAUCACCAAAAUUAUGGGUGGGUCUCUUCUGGGGAGAAAGCGGCUCACCCAGACCAAAGAACAUCAACAAAGGAUGAUAUAGAAAAGAACACCAAAAAAAAUGGAAAAAGAUCAGAAAAAACAUCGAAAAAGAAAAGCAACAGAAAUAAAUGAACAACAUCAAGAAAAGAUAAAUACAAAGAAGCAUCAUCCACCUUUCGGUCCCAAACAACAUCACCAAAAUUAUGGAUGGGUCUCUUCUGGGAGGAAAGCGGCUCAUCCAGACCAAGGAACAUCAACCAAAGGAUGAUAGAAAAAAAGAACAUCAAAAAGCAUCAAUAAGAAGUAAAAGAAAAAGAACAGGAAAACAUCGAAACAGAAAACUAAAGCAAUAAAAAGAACGAAAAACACGACAUCAAGAAAAUGAAAUAAAACAAACAUCAUCCACCUUUUGGCCCUAACAACAUCUCCAAAAUUAUGGGUGGGUCUCUUCUGGGAGGAAAGCGGCUCACCCAGACCAACGAACAUCGACAAAAGGAUGAUAGGAAAAAAGAACACCAAAAAAGAACAUCAAAAAAGAAAACCAACACCGAGAAAACACA